UUGCUGGGUGGAUUAGUGGCGAACGGGUGAGUAACACGUGAGUAACCUGCCCUUAACUCUGGGAUAAGCCUGGGAAACUGGGUCUAAUACCGGAUAGGAGCGCCUACCGCAUGGUGGGUGUUGGAAAGAUUUAUCGGUUUUGGAUGGACUCGCGGCCUAUCAGCUUGUUGGUGAGGUAAUGGCUCACCAAGGCGACGACGGGUAGCCGGCCUGAGAGGGUGACCGGCCACACUGGGACUGAGACACGGCCCAGACUCCUACGGGAGGCAGCAGUGGGGAAUAUUGCACAAUGGGCGAAAGCCUGAUGCAGCGACGCCGCGUGAGGGAUGACGGCCUUCGGGUUGUAAACCUCUUUCAGUAGGGAAGAAGCGAAAGUGACGGUACCUGCAGAAGAAGCACCGGCUAACUACGUGCCAGCAGCCGCGGUAAUACGUAGGGUGCGAGCGUUAUCCGGAAUUAUUGGGCGUAAAGAGCUCGUAGGCGGUUUGUCGCGUCUGUCGUGAAAGUCCGGGGCUUAACCCCGGAUCUGCGGUGGGUACGGGCAGACUAGAGUGCAGUA
rnacentral:rRNA from 1 species